UUUUCUGCAUAUUCCGUGAGUUUUGUCUUUGUUUUUUGUGGUCGAUUUCAAUGAUAUAGUUUGUUAGAGCAUUGGGGUUAUGGGGUUAGAGAGUGAAGCAUCUUCAAUCCAAAGCUCCUUCAAUGGCAGAAGAAGUAAACCAUAGCAGCAGUGACAUGAAAGGUCUUCCAAAAGUGCUGGUUCUAGGUCCUCCUUUUUGCUUCUCAUCACUUCAACCUCUCUACUCUCACAAAUUCCAUUUUCUCAAAUCUCACCUCUCAGAUCUCUCGCUUCAACACUUCCUUCAACUCCAUCACCCUCCCUCUAUUACCGCUAUUAUCUGCGACUCCGGCUACUCCGUAACCGCUGAAGUCCUCCGCCUCCUUCCAUCGCUCCGCCUCCUCGUCACCACCAGUGCCGGAACAAAUCACAUCGACCUCCGUGAGUGUGGCCGCCGCAGAAUCCAGGUCGCCGGUGCCGGAGGUAUGUUCUCGGAGGAUGUGGCAGAUAUGGCCGUGGCUCUGCUCAUUGACGGAAUGAGGAAAAUCUCAGCGGCAGAUCGGUGGUUAAGGACGCAGAAUCGCCACAAUGCGCCCUGGCAUUCAUUCCCAUUAGGGUCCAAGUUAUCAGGGAAGCAAGUUGGGAUUAUUGGAUUGGGAAGCAUUGGCAUGGAAGUGGCGAAAAGGCUCGAAUCUUUUGGUUGCAUAAUCUCAUACAACUCUAAGCAUAAAAAAGCUGCAGUGUCAUAUCCUUUCUAUUCCAGUGUUGUUGAGCUUGCAACUACUUGCGAAGUUCUUGUGCUCUGUUGUGAACUAAAUGAGCAAACAAAACACAUAAUUAACAGGGAAGUCAUUCUGGCGUUAGGAAAAGGAGGAUUUAUUGUAAAUGUUGGAAGAGGGGGUCUUAUUGAUGAAAAGGAAUUGGUAAAGUGUUUGAUGGAAGGUGAAAUUGGAGGUGCUGGUUUGGAUGUGUUUGAGAACGAGCCUCGUGUUCCUCAAGAGCUCUUUGAAAUGAAUAAUGUGGUUUUGUCUCCACAUGCUGCUGCUAUUACUGCGGAAUCAUUCAUGAAUAUGUGUGAACUUGCUGGAGGGAAUUUAGAAGCCUUUUUCUCAAAUAAGCCCCUAAUCACUCCAGUUAUGUUGACUGAAUAACUUGUUCUUUUGACAGCAAAAUAUCGAGCUGUAGAAUUGGAUUUCAUUCCUUCAAUGAUUCUUGAGUCGGAAAUGGCAUAGUUCUAUUUCCAAAACCAUCCCAGGGAAGUGCCUUUCAAACUGUCUUCAUAAAAGGAAGGAGAUGAACAAAACUAUAUUUGGAUCAUAGCACUAGUUCUAAAUCCAUCACCAAUUUGGAAGAAGUUGUUUAUAAACUCACCGUUAACCAAAAUGAAAUUAUUACUUUUUUGGACGCUAUUGUUUCUCAAUUUUCCAGACGCGACACACCCUCUCCUCAUUCUGAUGAUCAUCGUUCAUUUCACUACGAUGCUCCUCAGUUCACACUACACCUACACCACACCUCCAUUUGGAUGUUCCUCGGUUUGAUGGAACAAAGCCCAUGGGUUUGAUCUUUAAGAUAUCCCAGUUUUGAGUACCAUCCCACACCGAAAGUGGAUCGACUUCGGAUCGCGUCUUUUUACAUGGAUGGCUCAGCUCUUAGUUGGUUCUAAUGGUUGCAUCAAAACAACAUGAUUCCUUUGUGGCAAGAGUUUCUCCAAGCUGUAGAGGUUCUUUUGCUCCUUCUUAUUAUGAAGAUCUUCGUGGUUCUCUCUUUAAGUUGACAUAGAAGGGUUCCGUACAAGAUUAUUUGAAUGAGCUUGAACGACUUACUAACCGCAUUGUUGGUCUCCCUACAACUUUCUUGUUGAGUAACUUUAUUUCUAGCUUAAACCUAGAUAUCUGCUGCAAGAGGUUCAAGCAUUGCAACCACAGACUUCAACACAGGCUACGACAUUAACUAAAUUGCAAGAGGAUAAACUCAUUCAUCAAAUUCGCAUGUUUGAAGCUGAUAUUCCUAAAACUGUUUUUCGUACACAUCAUGGCAUUAUAAGUAUACAAUCAUGUCGUUUGGGCUUUGUAACUGUUAACAGAAUGAAUGACAAAAGAUAUGCAAUUGUAUAUUUAUUUGUAACUGUUAUUCUCUUAAUUAGCAUAAUUAGUUGUAGUAAAUGUAUAUAUGGCAGUUUAGCUUAUUUAGUGGGUUGAAAAUCAGCUUGACAAAUUGUAAUCAUUUGCAUUUAUAUGAAAGUUCUCCAACAAGGGGAGACAUAGUUUUCUAGCUAUAUCUUCUCUAAGUUUAACAUGGUAUCAAUCUAGGUUAUGAUCCCAAAACCUAGUUUGUGUUUUUCAGCCUCGUCCUAGAUUCACGAUCCUGCUUCACGAUUCUUGUUUUAUUUUCUCGUUUCCUUUUUUCCUAGCUUUGUGGAUUUUGAAAAAUAUGAUGUCUUAUUCGUUCGCCUUAAUG